AAAAAAAAACGAAAAAAAAA
rnacentral:sRNA from 1 species